rnacentral:misc_RNA from 1 species
UCCGGCUUGCCACCGGCAGUUCCACUAGAGUGCCCAGCUUAACCUGAUGGUAACUAGGGACGAGGGUUGCGCUCGUUGCGGGACUUAACCCAACAUCUCACGACACGAGCUGACGACAGCCAUGCAGCACCUGUGUUCCGGUUCCCUUUCAGGCACACCCGCCUCUCAGCAGGCUUCCAGACAUGUCAAGGGUAGGUAAGGUUGUUCGCGUUGCAUCGAAUUAAUCCACAUCAUCCACCGCUUGUGCGGGUCCCCGUCAAUUCCUUUGAGUUUUAGCCUUGCGGCCGUACUCCCCAGGCGGGGCACUUAAUGCGUUAGCUUCGGCACGGGAGGAGUCGACACCUCCCACACCUAGUGCCUAUCGUUUACGGCGUGGACUAC